AUCUUUGCGCUUGGGGCAAUGACUCAGUUACUGAGGUGACACCGAGAGGCGUCAAUUGCUGGUUGUUCACAUUAACAUUCAUGUUCAUAUUAUUGUUCAUAUUAACAUUGACUGGAUGUCAUCCGGUUUUGUUAACUUGACUUGUACAUGA
rnacentral:snRNA from 1 species